AGAGAAAUAGUUUAUUAUAAAAUUUAGGCUUUGGGAGCUUAAGAUGCUAAAAGAUUAGCUUUCUCUA
rnacentral:tRNA from 1 species